ensembl:snRNA U4 U4 spliceosomal RNA
AGCUUUGCGCAGUGGCAGUAUCGUAGCCAAUGAGGUUUAUCCGAGGCGCGAUUAUUGCUAAUUGAAGACUCAGAGCUAGAAGCUUCAAAACUGCACUGGAUGCAUGUGAGUGCAUGUCCAAAAUCCUUAAAGGA